rnacentral:lncRNA from 1 species
UUCACCAGUUCCUGCUUCUGAGUGUCACUUGCAGCUUCAUGGCCCAUCAAGGGAAGGAUGCUGAAGUGGCUUCCCUCAGAUUACAAUAAACUGCUGCUAGUGCUAUGUAUGCAAGUUGUCUCAGGAAAAAGAGCUGGGGUUUAAACAAAUCCUGAACAGUGUGAGUGGUGAACAUCUUGGGGAGAAAGAACCUUCAUGAAGUGAGGAGGAGGAUGACAGCCUUUGCAGCCCCGUUCCCAGGGGUGUGAUGUUACAACCGACUAAGUACUGCAGAAAGUGCAAGAGAUACAAAUUUCCACCAGGACCAGAAAUGACUAAGCUGACAGGAAUCUUGACUUAAAGGUAAUGACCUAGAUAAGACAAGGUAGUGUUGUUAUUUCCUAUAUAACUCAUAUGAUGUAUAUAAUGAUCUUGAUUUUGCAAAGCUUAGCUAUUACAAGAAUAAUUUUCAUCUG